UGCAGCAGUACAGGGAAGGCCAUCACAUGUGAACUGGAAGGGAGCCAACAUGGAGACACAGAGAGCGCAAGGACCUUUUUCUCCCUGGAAUUUCCUAAGGACAAAAAGCAUAAUUAAAACAUUGCCUGCCUGCCCCACAAAUGAGAUCCUUCUAUCAGGGCAGGAAUUUGAAAAACCAAAUUGAACUUCAGCCUGAAGAAUCCAGAGUAAAGCCAAUCUGGAUCUCCAUUCUUCCUGGGCUCAAGAUUUUAGGGCCUUGUUAGAUACGUUCAAUUACUCUUCAAAAGGCCAUACAGUCUCAGAGAUUCAGGUUGCUGAGUCAUUUGUUCCCAAGAAGAUCUUUCUGACAACACGAAAAGCAGCAAAACAGAACAACAGCCAAGCUUGGACCUGAAGUGGCCAAAGACUGUGUUCUCCUCUCCAGCAUGGGCAGUCAAGCAAGAUAAGCAUCCACCAGCCGACUCCAAACCCCUCCACAAUGUUCAUGCAUGGAUGUCGACACUCCUGGAAACUCUUCCACGGAGGGGCGGCCCACCAAUACUCUGGAGCUAGAGUGGGGUUGUUUUUGGAUACUCACAGGUCUCCACUGUGGCAAGCAAAGAGCUCCCAACAUUUUCCUGCCCCUCCCCACAGACCCAAAAAUGCUUCCAGGAAUAACUGAGAUGCUAAGCCACUAGACCCUACAUACCCAGACAGACCCAGGGAGUGUCAGGUUCCCACAGUGCUACAUCAAAAGAAUGCAGAAAGGUUCCUGACAACCAGUUGUAAUGUAUGAGCCUAGACUUGACCAGAAGUGAAUGAUACAUUCAGGUCGUGGGUCAGGUGACUCAUGAAGUGUAUCACAUCAAGAACUUUGCACUUCCAGGAAGAUGAAUGAGAAUGUGAGGCCAGGCAGCCACCUAAUCCCAUAUCCACUUCCCAGGCAGCCUUCAAGCAACUACUCUGGGCCAAAGUUUCAUCCAGCAGAAAGGAGGACCACUUGGAAGACAAGCAUGGCACUACACAGUUUUAAAAGAAGACUAGAGUAUCUGUGCCAGGCUCCCAGCAGGGGGGAAAGUGCUUCAGAUUCACACCUUCUGGGCUCCAGGGUUGAGCAUGCCAAUAAAGAAGUCGCCUACUUGUCUGAUGACCAAAGGAACGUGGCCUUGAUGGCACUAAAGCAAGUCCCCCAGAAUGGUCCUCUGCUUACUUAAAUCUCAUCUGCCGUAGUUUCCUUCUCCAUGGAAGAAAAACAUGCCUAAGUUCAUGUCAGGACAUUCCUGAUUUAUCCAAGAGCCCAGGAUCAAAUAAACAAAGGGCUCUGAGCUCUGCCAGGGAGCCUCCUCCUUCAGGAGGGAGAACUAGAGGGAAGUAGGCUUGGUACAGAGCUGGCCCAUCACCCCAUGAACUUGGUGAGUGACGUGGCUGCUUACUGCCAUGGCGAUGGGGAUGUUACGGGUGGGUGGAAGUGAGAGAAGAGGCAAAUAAGUCAUGAGAGACAGAGCGAAAGCCAGGCAGGGUCAGAGAAGGAACCUACACAGCAACAGAAUUUAGAGAGGCCGACUGUAGUCUAUAACCGCAGCAAAAUUGAGCUGAGUCCCUGCAAAGAUAAGUCCCCAUCUCAGGGGUGCAGCAAGGACCCACUGUGACUCAAAAAGUACUAUGCCAACAUUACAUUCAGCAAGGCUUUGUUUCAUUUUCCCUCUAAAUCUUUUCCUUCCCAUGACUCCGUUGAUAACGGCUUUGAUGACUAGAGGAAUACUAGGGUUUUUGGUUUUGCGGUGGUUUGAAUAAAAUGGCCCGGACAUAUGUGGAGUCAUUUUAAGGAGUGGAGAAUUUCAUAGCCAAGACAGAAGGAAGAGGCUUUUCCUGUACAGAGACAGAGGGAAGGGGUCUUUAGGCUGAAAGAGGGAAACUUGAGUGUGCAGAAAACAGCCAGUUAUAUGAGGAGGCAGGAGGAGGCAGGAUUAAAACAGUCAUUUUAGGUGCCUCUGUCCAAUUCUAGGUCUUCCUUCUAUUAACCUGAUUCUACGAGGCGCUGAGAACAGAAAAACCCGAAUGGGAUGACCAGGAAGCAGAAAUGAAUUCAGUUCCAAAAACAUGGGAGGAUGUUUACUUAGCAAGCACGCUCGAGCCUACAAGGAAGCAGUUUUACAGGGUGCUGCAUACAGUGUUUGAUUUCAGGGAGCAAAGAUAACUUCGGAGUGAGGAAAAGGUACUGGUUCCUUCUACUCACCCUCGGAGGCCUGGGGAGGCCAGGCCAGCGCAAACUUGAAAAGACAGGGCUUCAGCUCAAGCCUAACAGGUCGCUGGCUCUCUUUGGCUUCUCAGCAGCUACCGGCCUCAGGAACUAAACAAACUCUCCAGACUUCAUGAGCGUUCCGUGACCUCUGACUGAUUUGGGUCAAAACUUCGAAAUGCCAAAGACAAAGAAUUUUUUUUCUUUAAAGGGAAUGAGCUGAACUUUGACCCGCCCUUGUUCAGGGUGUGGAAUGCAAGCACUGUGUACCGGCCACAAACUCCAGUUCGGCAGGCAACAGCCGGGAAAGCAGGCUUCACGCUGACCUCCCUGUCCUGUUUCUUCUUUAGGGCCAACUCAAUGGGGUCUAGGUCUUUACCUCGCUCUUCAGAUAGGGGAGCUGUGAAGGAGACAGAUUCCAAUCUCUGUCAUCUAGAGCUAGAGUGGAUGUUCUAAAUAAAUCUGGCAGCGAUCCGGUAUCAGGCAGAACUGACAGGCCCAAUCCACAGCAAGAUGGCAUUUCUGUUCACUGCCUGGGAGCUGGUGGACAACAGGUACUUGGUUACCCUCUGAGGUACAUCAUUAAUAAGUACCUACUAAGUGCUAACCCAAUAUACAGCACAGGAAAAGCACGAGACACAGGCCAUCAUGGAGAACACACACAUUCUAGCUGAAACUAAGUAUUCCCAAAUUUGUAUUGCUGAUAUUUAAAACAUCUGCUUACUUUAAAAGCUGAGAUCCACUUUUGCAAUGAAAUUAUAUCAAGCAUACUGCUUGGUUCCCAGGCUAGCUCACAAAAGCGCAUUUAUCCAUUCCAGGAAGUCAUCAACUCCAACGUCUUCAGAGGCCAGGCAGAUAAUGAAAGAGCACAGUGGGCUGCGGAGGGGACGUGCCCGGUGGAAGGACCGUGCCACUCCUGAUGGGCCGCCCUCUUGGGCCUACCUGCUGGGGACCAUCUGGGAACAGAGACCCAAAGAGUCCAGAUCAUCCAGGUUUUCAGGACAAGGUGGAACUAGCUUUAUGUUAAACUCCCGAUUUUUUUUUUUUUUUAACACUGUCAAGAUAUUUUAACUGUCAGAACAUACCUACAGAGCUUUCAGUUUGGUAUCCUGGUUGUCAUGUAUACAGGAUACAAUACAUUUGCAAUGAAAAAAAGAAAAAAAAAGCAAGCAUUGCCAGAGUGAGGAAUUAAAUAAAAUAAAGGACAUGACCAAAAAGGAAAACUUUACCUCACAGAUGUGCUAUUUGAGGAAAAUAAUAAGCAUAGAGGAAAAUGAGGAAAAUUUAAACCUUCUGGUCAAUGGCUGUCAACUAGCUGUGCCCUGAGGGCUGCAGAUGGAGAGGUAUAUUGAAAUGACUUCCAAGUAUAUGUGAUUUCACUGAAGUACUAAUAAUAUGUGUGCCCCAUCCUGACCUGCCAGCCAGGCAGAAAAGUCAUGCUGAUAUACUGGCUCUAUCCCCCAGUUGAGAGCGCUCCUCUGGACAUCCACAAAAGGUCCAUCCAGGGCUUUGGUGAUAAGAUUGGAAGGGCUUAUCAUAAUCCAGCUGCCCAUCCAAGGCACAGGGCCCUCCACAGAAACCACUGUGACCAAGUCAUCGUCUAGCCCCCACUUGAUUCAGUAACUCCCACCACACCUUUGGAGGGCUCAGACAAGUGGAACGUAACUGAGAUGAAAUCUCUCUGCAGGGAAAUAUUAGCCUUCAGAUCUCCACUCUGCCUCUGGAGCCCCAGAGAACAAGCCUACUCCCACAAAGACUUUUGAGACAUUUUGGGAUAGUUUUUACAACCACAAGUUUUUAGGCUAAACAAGAAGAUACAAAAAGGGAUAUUAAAAAGGAAGGGUGGGGGGAAGAAGCCAGAAAUAUUCUUGAAAUAGCUCAUCAAUAGUUAACAAGCCAAAGGAAAAGAGGAAGAGACACAGGCAUUCAUGAGAAAGGAGCCUCCUGUGGCCAAAUCAACAGCAAGUGAAGAAGCACAUGGGAAAGGAAGGGCCCACAGUCCACACACUAAGAAAAUGCCAAGAGCCACUCGAUCAAACAGUUCCCAGGGCCAGCCACCAGGCUGUGCCAAUGAUCCAGGACAUAUUGGUUAGAACCUGGCACUGGGAGAAGGAAACUGUAUACAACUCACAAUUGUAAGCAUGCAACAUUUUUCUGUCCAGCUGGGGAAAGGGAUUCUUUUUCUGAUGGAUUUGUUGGUGUUAUUUAUAAAUUCUGGAUAUGAAUCCACUUGCUAGUUGUAGGCACUGAGAGUAUCUUCUCCUCUCUGCUUGCCUUCACUCUCUUUUAUUGAUGUCAUUUGAUGAUCAGAGUUCCUCAUUUUAAUGACAUCCAACUUAUCAAUCUUUUCCCUUAGAGUUAGUGCUUUCUGUGUCUUCUUUAAGAAAUGUAUGGCUACCCCAAAGUUAUAAAGAUAGAUUGACGAUCA